rnacentral:tRNA from 1 species
GCCUGGGUGGCUCAGUCAGUUAAGCGUCUGACUUGUGCUCAGGUCAUGAUCUCACAGUCUGUGAGUUCGAGCCCCACGUCGGGCU